UCCAAUUUUACCAUUUUUGCGCAAAGUUAGAAUCGGAUUCUUUAUUCAGCAUAUCAUAUGAUCGUCAUUUUCGCCAAAUGUGACAUUUUGUUCGCCAAAUGGUACUUCAAAAACCUUGUGUUAAAAAUGCCUUGGAAUGGGUGAAAUUUCUUUUCGCUAAACGGAAUUUUUCGCCAAACUGUCCGACUUCCAUUUGAAGACCGCUUGGUAUCAAUUUAAUACUGGAUUUCUAAGAAUGCUGUGAAGGAGUAAUUUAAUACGUGAAGAACCUGUCGUUUCAGAAUUUGAAAAACGUGCGAAUAACCUGGAGGGUUUUACUGCAAGUCUACUUUAUGAAUUGGAGAAACGCUUCGGAGGCCAAAAGGGCCUCUCUGUCAUUAAGGUGGACCACUUGGCGAAACGAAUAGGACGAAUUUCGGUUGCACAGGUUACAAAAUGGUUUCGAAAUCGCCAGGGGAAAUUUGAGAAGGUGAAGAGAGACGUAGAAUCUAAGAUAGUGCAACAACCUCAAAAUACCGGCCAACACGUGGCGGAUAAUCCUGUUAAGAAUUUUACCCCACCAAUGUCCUCCCCUCAAACUAGCACUUUAAAAGCUGCAUCAGCCACGAUGACGAAAAUUGACAAAGGUCUGCCACAAGGUUUUGGAUUAUGAGGUCGUCCAACACUGCUGUCUCGGCCCUUGAAUGUGCAUAUUGAUUCCCAACAUUUCUGAUCAACAA